rnacentral:misc_RNA from 1 species
UCUCCGUUGGUGAACCAGCGGAGGGAACAUUACCGAGUUUACAACUCCCAAACCCCUGUGAACAUACCAUUUGUUGCCUCGGCGGUGCCUGCUUCGGCAGCCCGCCAGAGGACCCAAACCCUUGAUUUUAUACAGUAUCUUCUGAGUAAAUGAUUAAAUAAAUCAAAACUUUCAACAACGGAUCUCUUGGUUCUG